rnacentral:rRNA from 1 species
AUUGAACGCUGGCGGCAGGCCUAACACAUGCAAGUCGAGCGAGCGGCGGACGGGUGAGUAAUGUAUGGGGACUGCCCGAUAGAGUGGGCUAACUCCUGGAAACGGUAGCUAAUACCCCAUACUAUCGAAUAACCCAUAUGGGAUUAGCUAGUAGGUGAGGUAAUGGCUUACCUAGGCGACGAUCCCUAGCUGGUCUGAGAGGAUGAUCAGCCAAACUGGGACUGAGACACGGCCCAGAAUCCUACGGAGGCAGCAGUGGGGAAUAUUGCACAAGGGGCGCAAGCCUGAUGCAGCCAUGCCGCGGGUAUGAAGAAGGCCCUAGGGUUGUAAAGUACUUUCAGUCGGGAGGCGUUACCGACAGAAGAAGCACCGGCUAACUCCGUGCCAGCAGCCGCGGUAAUUC